rnacentral:misc_RNA from 1 species
AAGUCGUAACAAGGUUUCCGUAGGUGAACCUGCGGAAGGAUCAUUAAAGAGUUAGGGGUCUCACAGGCCCCGACCUCCAACCCUUUUGUUGUCAUAACUAAACUGUUGCUUUGGCGGGACCGCUCGGUCUCGAGCUGCUGGGUCUUCGGCCCGGAAGUGCCCGCCAGGUCUACUCAAACUCUUGUUUUAACCGGUCGUCUGAGUAAAUUUUUGAUAAUCAAAA